UCUACUUCUGCAAAACAUUAGUAGAAUUGUGAUAAUGCAAGCUACUAAUGUUUAUAAUUGGGUCAGAAAUGACAAAAAAAUUAGCAUUGCAGUAUAUCUGAAAUGAUUCAGUUCAGUAAACUGGGUGAAAGUUCACUCAAAAUUAAUUUUUCAAUCUAUACAGCAUCUGAACCUGAUGUUUCAGAAAAACUACUGCCAGUAAUGUGACAUAGUUGCACCACAUUUGUGACACUGAUAUAAAAAUUGCACAGACAGAACUCGGAGAUAAGAAACUCUCGAGAGCUUAUCACUGAACAUUUGCUUCAAAUGAAAUAUUUGACUGGACUCCACACUGAAAACAUUUCUGGUCAAAAUGUGGUGUUGUCACUGCUUACCUUGUUGGUUCCUUGUAAUUGAAGAUGUUGCUCAUUAGUCUGACCACUUUCUGCUGGUCAGUGGACAACAGUAGAGAAUUGAUACAAAAAGGAGUAAUCAAAUGUAUAUGAAGCAAUCGUAAGCCAGAACCUGGAUGUGUUUUACGGUGUGCAGUUGGUUGAAAUUAAAAUCAAAUGAGAACUUGGACUUUGUGUAAAAGCAUUUUGCGUCUUUGAACAACACAAGAGGACCUGAGCUACACCAUACAGAAAAGAUGCUAAAUGUUUUCAACCACAGCGGACAUUCAGCCCAUCAUUCAGCCGGGUCCACAAAACAAUUCCUUACAUGAAAGUGAGUACUGUUAAUGUUUUUCCAUAUUUUCUCUUAAUGUGGAAAUUAACCUGUCGAUUGAUUCUAUUAUUGUGUGGUUUGAUGCCACGUGGUGAGUCUGGAUUUUUACAUAAUGAUCAAGGAGAAGGCAAAGUCAAGACAUGUUUUCAGGUUUAGACUUCAAAGUAACAACAUUUAUUACUUGUGAAGAAAUAAUAAUAAAACUGUACAGUGCAUGGUACUCAUACCUCUGUCAUAUAGUUACAUUCAUUGUAUACUCAUGUCCAUGUGCUCUCUUCCUGAGACGGCACUUUAGAAUGUUUCCAAAAUGUAUUAAGUUUUCAUGAUAUUCUUCCAACAUGUUCUAAAGCUUCCAAUUAUGUGGUAUUUAUACUGAGUAAUGUGCAGUUGUGUGACCUUAUCACAAGGUUGCUCCAGGGUUCAUAGCCCUUAUACUGCUGUCACACUCAAG